rnacentral:rRNA from 1 species
GCUUGUCUCAAAGAUUAAGCCAUGCAUGUCUAAGUAUAAGCAUUAUACAGUGAAACUGCGAAUGGCUCAUUAUAUCAGUUAUAGUUUAUUUGAUAGUCCCUACUACUUGGAUAACCGUAGUAAUUCUAGAGCUAAUACAUGCGAAAAGUCCCGACUCUUUGGAAGGGAUGUAUUUAUUAGAUACAACUGACCCCUCUGGGUUCCAGGUGAAUCAUAAUAACUGAGCGAACCGCAAGCGCAAGCUGCGGUGGUUCAUUCAAGUUUCUGCCCUAUCAGCUUUCGAUGGUAGGGUAUUGGCCUACCAUGGCGUUAACGGGUAACGGAGAAUUAGGGUUCGAUUCCGGAGAGGGAGCCUGAGAAAUGGCUACCACAUCCAAGGAAGGCAGCAGG